GUUGUCCUAGCUUCAUGCAAAAGCUGGUUCCACCAUUGGGGUGCCAUGACAGAGAAUAGCUUGGACUGGGCUGAGCGGGAGCUGGGAUGGGAGGGCCAAGAUACCAGAGGUGGCAGAACAGAGUACUCAGGUUGCGGUGUAGAGUUUGAGCAUAGCCUGAAGGUAGGGAAGGGCAGUUCCUCUUGCAUGUGUGUUGCAUGGUGUUGUAGUGUAUAUGAGCUUUGACUGGAAGCCAGUGGAGCGUGCGGAGGACCGGGGUUACAUGGGAGAACUUGGGAAGGUUGAACACCAGGCGGGCUGCAGCGUUCUGGAUAAGUUGCAGAGGAUUGAUGGUACAAGCGGGGAGCCCAGCCAACAGCGAGCUGCAGUAUUCCAGACGGGAGAUGACAAGUGCCUGGAUUAGGACCUGCGUCGCUUCCUGUGUGAGAGAACGACAGGGUGUUGUCCAGGGUCACGCCAAGAUUCUUUGCACUCUGGGAGGGGGACACCAUGGAGUUGUCAACCAUGAUGGAGAGGUCUUGGAGCAGGCAUGCCUUCCCCGGGAGAAAGAGCAGCUCCGUCUUGUCAAAAUUGAGCUUGAGGUGUUAGGCUAGCAUUAAAGCUGAGGUAUCUGCCAGGCUUACAGAGAUGCAUGUCGCUAAAUGGGUGUCAGAAGGGAGGAAGGAGAAAAGUAGUUGAAGGUUAUCCGCAUUGCAAUGAUAGGAGAGACCAUGUAAGGAUAUGACGGAGCCAAGUGACUUGUUGUAUAGAGAGAAGAGGAGAGGGCCUAGAACCGAGCCCUGGGGGACACCAGUAGGGAGAGAACAUGGUGGACCCUCUAGAAUGUACAAGCACUAUAGAUAAACAUAACUAUAAUGACAUUUAAAAUAUAAACAUGUAUAUACUGUAUAUUCCCCGAAAUUACCUACAGCACUUAUUUGAAAUGUGGAUUGAAGCUAUUUUUCUUUCUUUAUUUGAAAUGAAAUCAUAAUUUUAAUGCCAAGCAUUAAAAUGAUUUUGCAAUACUUUAUACACAUGAACAUGUUGAUGCCGUACUCAUAAAACGAUUAGAAAUAGGAGAGUAUGUUGUGUCAAACAGUGAAUUACCAGUAUGCCGGCCUAGAUGGCAUCCCAAGCAGCAUCCUCAGAGCAGUGUUUAAAGACACAUUCAACGUCAUCCCUGUCCCAGUCUGUUUUCCCCACUUGCUUCAAGAUGUCCACCAUUGUUCCUGUACCCAGGAAAGCUAACUGAACCAAAUGACUAUCACCCCGUAGUACUCACCUCUGUCAUCAUUAAGUGCUUUGAGAGGCUAGUUAAGGAUCAUAUCACCUCCAACCUACCGGACUCCUGAGACCCACUUCAAUUUGCAUACCGCCCCAACAGAUCCACGGACGACACAAUCGCUGUCGCACUGCACACUGCCCUAUCCCACCUGGACAAGAGGAAUACCUAUGUGAGAAUGCUGUUCAUUGACUACAGCUCAGAUUUCAACACCAUAGUGAUGAGCUUGGAGGGCACUAAGCUAAGGACCCUGGGUCUGAACUCCUCCCUCUGCAACUGGGUACUAGACUUCCUGAUGGGCUGACCCUCGGUGAUGAGGGUAGGCAACAACACCUCUGCCACACUGAUCCUCAACACAGGGGCCCUCCAGGGGUGUGUUCAGUCCCCUCCUGUACUCCCUAUACACCCAUGACUGCGUGGCAUAUAUUAUAUUGUUUACUUACUGUGUAUGUAUACUGUAUCCUCAACAUAGCUCAUCCUAAUACGCAUACUGUACAUACCAUAUUAUACUGUCUAUACAUACACCACAUAUUUAUAUUCUGGAUUCUGA
rnacentral:lncRNA from 1 species